CAGUUCGGAUCGCAGUCUGCAACUCGACUGCGUGAAGGUGGAGUCGCUAGUAAUCGCGGAUCAGCAACGCCGCGGUGAAUGCGUUCCCGGGCCUUGUACACACCGCCCGUCAAGUCAUGAAAGUGGGCAGCACCCGAAGACGGUGGCCUAACCCUUGUGGGGGAGCCGUCUAAGGUGAGGCUCGUGAGUUGGGACUAAGUCGUAACAAGGUACC
rnacentral:rRNA from 1 species